UUUUUUUUUUGGGGGGUUAAGUAGUAUCUUGGAAGCUACGUUGACUUAAUUUACGUUGUAUGACAUUAUUAUUGUUUAUUGAAGACGCCAGACUACAAAUUGGCACUCUCCCAUAAUUACUCUUCUCUUUUAACUACUCUAUCUCUCUCUCUCUUUUUUCUUUUUUUGAAGAAACUACUCUCUCUUUUGAUUAGGCAUGUUAAUAGGUACAAGCUGAGUGUAAUCUCUUUUAUCCAAAUCUAGAUCUAUUAAAUUUGAUUAAAUCCAAACCCAAAUCCAAACUGUUAUGGGUCUAAAAAGCAAAUUCAGACUCAAACCUUAUAAUAUCCAACGGAUAUUCGUUAUGUUUUUCUAAACAUACUAAAAUAAAAAAUUAUUAAAACAUGUAGAGUUCAAAAAUAAUAUAAAUAUCAUCCAAUUUUUACUUUCAAAUAAUAAAAUUAAUAUUCAAGAAGUGAAGUGCAAUAUUAUGAACUAAAUUAACUACUUCUAUUUAUUUUCAAAGUUUUAUAUCAAU
rnacentral:lncRNA from 1 species